CCAGUUAAAAGUAAAUUUCAAAUUAACAAUGGACACUUUUUUUAGUAUAAGGAUGUCCAGUGCAAUAUUUGGGACAUGCUUAUACUAAAAAGCUUUUGGUAUUUAUCUGAAAUUCAAAUUUA
rnacentral:miRNA from 1 species